AACGAACGCUGGCGGCACGCUUUAAGCAUGCAAGUCGAAUGGCAGCAGGGGCAUCUCUGUGAGAAUGGCGAACGGGUGAGUAACACGUAGGUGAUCUGCCUUGAGGAUGGGGAGAGCCUGUGGAAAAACAGGGUAAUACCGCAUGAGCUGACGAGCCUUUGGUAUCGUUAGAAAAGGUGCUACGGCACCGCCUUGAGAGGAGCCAGCGGCUGAUUAGCUAGUUGGUGGAGUAGGAGCUUACCAAGGCGACGAGCAGGAGCCGGGCUGAGAGGGUGUACGGCCACACUGGAACUGAGACACGGUCCAGACUCCUACGGGAGGCAGCAGCUAAGAAUCUUCCGCAAUGGGCGAAAGCCUGACGGAGCGAUGCCGCGUGAUCGAUGAAGGUCGAGAGAUUGUAAAGAUCUUUUCUACAUGAGGAAUAAGUCUGGGAGGGAAUGCCCGGAUGAUGACGUUAGUGUAGGAAUAAGCCCCGGCUAAUUACGUGCCAGCCGCCGCAGUAA
rnacentral:rRNA from 1 species